UGGGGAAUUUUGGACAAUGGGCGAAAGCCUGAUCCAGCAAUGCCGCGUGUGUGAAGAAGGCCUUCGGGUUGUAAAGCACUUUUGUCCGGAAAGAAAUCCUUGGCUCUAAUACAGUCGGGGGAUGACGGUACCGGAAGAAUAAGCAUCGGCUAACUACGUGCCAGCAGCCGCGGUAAUACGUAGGGUGCAAGCGUUAAUCGGAAUUACUGGGCGUAAAGCGUGCGCAGGCGGUUUGCUAAGACCGAUGUGAAAUCCCCGGGCUCAACCUGGGAACUGCAUUGGUGACUGGCAGGCUAGAGUAUGGCAGAGGGGGGUAGAAUUCCACGUGUAGCAGUGAAAUGCGUAGAGAUGUGGAGGAAUACCGAUGGCGAAGGCAGCCCCCUGGGCCAAUACUGACGCUCAUGCACGAAAGCGUGGGGAGCAAAACAGGAUUAGAUACCCUGGUAGUCCACGCCCUAAAACGAUGUCAACUAGUUGUUGGGGAUUCAUUUCCUUAGUAACGUAGCUAACGCGUGAAGUUGACCGCCUGGGGAGUACGGUCGCAAGAUUAAAAACUCAAAUGAAUUGACGGGGUCAUAGCUGUUUCCU
rnacentral:rRNA from 1 species